GUUAAUAAAAUGGUUUAUUUCAUAACUUUUGCAAAAAAAUAUAUAUAUCAAAAAAAACUUUUUUAUCACAGAUCUGAAUAUGUAUUAAAUAACGGCUUCAAAGCCAUUAACGGCUUUCAAAGCCAUAGGCAUACCUAAUUUCAAGACUAAACUUGCUUUCACUUGUAUUGAAAUUUUACCUAUAUUUUUUGACAAUGUGACCAGAUAGAAAUUCAACAUUGGGACUAAAUGCAAUAAGAAGAGACUAUUUUGGUCUUGUAUGGGUCAUUUUGAGAAACUAUACUCUUUAGAGUUAACAGAAGGUCCAACAUGACAAAAUUUAUGCAAAACAAUGAACAAGCCCAUCUCAAUAAAUAUUUCAAUAAACAAAACAGCCAGAAUAAACAUACUAACAUGAAAACGAGAUACACUAGCAUUGGUUACUACUAGCUAGUUGGAGCUUUAAUCAAUGUUAUUAACAUAUAUCUUUUAUAUUUAUGACUUGGUUAUACUGAGCGUGUUGGUAUUAGACUGAAUAUUGGUCCUCAUCAUGUUAUAUAUUUAACAAAAUGUAAUAAAAGCAAUGCUUAUAAGUACCCUUAAAAAUUAUAACCUGUAAGAAAGUUACAGUUGUUACAUUUUAAAUUCAAAAAAUGUUCUGUCAAUAACUACCUAGCUAUAUUUCAUUUCAUAUUGUCAUUUACUUGUACCUAGAAGCAAAGGUCAAAAAAUUUAUGCAAACAUAAUUUUUUACAGGGUACUCUUAUUAGACAAAUCUAAUGAAAUUAAUAAAUUAAAAUGAAAUUUAAAAUUUUUGGAUUUUAUAUAUACUAUUCGAAUUUAAGCAUUCUCAGAAGUUCUAUUUGUUUCAUUCUACUUGUUUCAAUGCAAUGACAUAUUUGGUCAGUUAAGCUUGCCAGCACUCCCUAACAUUAUGUUUAAUAAUCAAUCAAUUUACCACACUAACUUAACAUGAUGCCCUAAGAAAGUUUUAAAUAUAUAUAUAAAUAGCCUUACAACUGAUAAAUGACUUUGUUUUAUAUUUCUGAGGUUAUGUACCUUACAAGUUUACCACUGUCAUUGUCAGAAUCGUUGAUAGAGGCCUAAUAUUGCUCUGUCAUGAUAAUUUUAAAGAGAAUUAGAGCAAUUUUAAGAACGUUAAAUCUAUUUUCUUAAAGAAGAGGGCUACACUACACAUACUAAAUAUUUUUAUUUAUGUCAAUGUGUAAGGUGAAACAAAAAUUUUUUUUUCAUAAGAACAGCAGAAUAUUCGGUGGUAUUCACCUUCUGAAAAUUUUUUAUUAUGCCAGGACUGGUACCACACCAACAAACAAUUUGUGGUUAGUACUGUAGGUUUAUUAUUUCUUAAAUAUGUUCAAAAAAUAAAAAACCUACAAUACUAAUAUGAUCUGAACAAACAAACCAAAACAAAGAAUUUGUGAUUACUGAGUACACUGGGUUGAGCCAUAUGCUUAUUGUAAAUGUAUACUAAAUAAAAGCUAAAAGCAUAUUAGCAUAUUAUAGCAGGGGAGUGUGACAAUAGUAACGAUAUAUAUAAAGUUGCCAUAAAUACACACUUAAUAUGAAAAAAUAUUCAUAUUUUUUGUCACACUACAACUAAUUAUACUCUCUAUAUAUACUUUUAUCCACUACAAUUCUCCAAAUAUGGCAUUUGUUUAUAA